GACGAACGCUGGCGGCGUGCUUAACACAUGCAAGUCGAGCGGUAAGGCCCUUUCGGGGGUACACGAGCGGCGAACGGGUGAGUAACACGUGGGUGACCUGCCCUCAGCUCUGGGGUAAGCCUGGGAAACCGGGUCUAAUACUGGAUAUGACUCCAUGACGCAUGUUGUGGGGUGGAAAGCCUUGUGCGGCUGAGGAUGGGCCCGCGGCCUAUCAGCUUGUUGGUGGGGUGAUGGCCUACCAAGGCGACGACGGGUAGCCGGCCUGAGAGGGCGACCGGCCACACUGGGACUGAGACACGGCCCAGACUCCUACGGGAGGCAGCAGUGGGGAAUCUUGCGCAAUGGGCGAAAGCCUGACGCAGCGACGCCGCGUGAGGGAUGACGGCCUGGUGUAA
rnacentral:rRNA from 1 species